GCGCGAAGGUUUAUUACCCUCAUUGAUGAAUUAUACAAUCAUCAUUGUUGCCUAUAUUGCUCAGCUGAGACUUCAGUAGAGGAUCUAUUUCAAGGAACAGCAGAAGGAACACUUUUUGAUUUGGAAAGCUUCCAAUUUGAGACAGAGAUAGAAGGUACAAAGCUCCGGCGAGAUGUUUUAGCCGAAGGCAAUGUUAGUUCAGGAGGUGCUCCAUCUGGC
rnacentral:misc_RNA from 1 species